AUUGAACGCUGGCGGCAUGCCUUACACAUGCAAGUCGAACGGCAGCACGGUUGCUUGCUCCUGGUGGCGAGUGGCGGACGGGUGCGUGAUACAUCUGCACAUGUCCUUAAUUUGUGGAGAGCCCGAAGGAAGCCGGAUUAAUACCACAUACGAUCUACGCCUGCAAGUGGGAGCCCUGGAGGCCUCGAGCUUUAGGGUUCGCCGAUGCCGAUGUCGGAUUAGCUAGUUGGCGGGGUAAAGGCCCACCAAGGCGACGAUCCGUAGCUGGUCUGAGAGGAUGAUCAGCCACACUGGAACUGAGACACGGUCCAGACUCCUACGGGAGGCAGCAGUGGGGAAUAUUGGACAAUGGGCGAAAGCCUGAUCCAGCAAUGCCGCGUGUGUGAAGAAGGCCUUCGGGUUGUAAAGCACUUUUGUUCGGAAAGAAAACCUUGGCCCUAAUACGGUCGGGUGAUGACGGUACCGGAAGAAUAAGCACCGGCUAACUACGUG
rnacentral:rRNA from 1 species